AACGAACGCUGGCGGCAGGCCUAACACAUGCAAGUCGAGCGCCCCGCAAGGGGAGCGGCGGACGGGUGAGUAACGCGUGGGAACGUACCCUUUGCUACGGAAUAGCCUCGGGAAACUGGGAGUAAUACCGUAUGUGCCCUUCGGGGGAAAGAUUUAUCGGCAAAGGAUCGGCCCGCGUUGGAUUAGGUAGUUGGUGGGGUAAUGGCCUACCAAGCCGACGAUCCAUAGCUGGUUUGAGAGGAUGAUCAGCCACACUGGGACUGAGACACGGCCCAGACUCCUACGGGAGGCAGCAGUGGGGAAUCUUAGACAAUGGGCGCAAGCCUGAUCUAGCCAUGCCGCGUGAGCGAUGAAGGCCUUAGGGUUGUAAAGCUCUUUCAGUGGGGAAGAUAAUGACUGUACCCACAGAAGAAGCCCGGCUAACUCCGUG
rnacentral:rRNA from 1 species